CUGCUGUUACUGCUCACAUAGUUGGGCCACAGCUUCGGGCAGCAGCUGCAGCAAAACAUACCAAAUGCAGACUUUGCAUGGAGAUACUCUGAAGCACAUUUCCUGAUGUGUUUCUAGUUUACAUCAUCUGUCAAGGCACUGGAGAAGAUCUACCUGCAUUUAUUGAGGAUACAGAAACACAGUAACAGGCACAACAGUGUGAAGAUCCUCACCAGGCUAAGAAUCCUGACAGCAUGUGAUGGAUGCCCUGUUUAAAUGAUGCCUUUGAAAGCUUUCACAAUGCUCUGACAGAGGACUCACUGGAGAAUAAAUGACUUUCCUUUAAAUUACAAGAGCCUAGGUUGAGAAGACAGGCAGUGUGAAUGUCGCCCUACAAAUCCAAUAUAUUCAACUGCUUCCAGUGCUAAAGAGCAAUUGUUAGUAGUGAAAACGCAUCCAAGAUUGUUUUUGACCCAAGGAAGUUUUGACUGUCUGUAAUAAGAAAGCUACAAUAUUUUAUUUUGAAUUAUUUUUUCCCCCUACUUACACUAUAUUCUCUCAAUAAACAAUAGAAAUGUGCUUUGGGCUUGAA